CAGUCGCCACGGUAAUACGUAGGUGGCAAGCGUUGUCCGGAAUUAUUGGGCGUAAAGGGCUCGCAGGCGGUUUCUUAAGUCUGAUGUGAAAGCCCCCGGCUCAACCGGGGAGGGUCAUUGGAAACUGGGAAACUUGAGUGCAGAAGAGGAGAGUGGAAUUCCACGUGUAGCGGUGAAAUGCGUAGAGAUGUGGAGGAACACCAGUGGCGAAGGCGACUCUCUGGUCUGUAACUGGCGCUGAGGAGCGAAAGCGUGGGGAGCGAACAGGAUUAGAUACCCCCGUAGUCCCUGUCUCUUAUAC
rnacentral:rRNA from 1 species